rnacentral:lncRNA from 1 species
AAAUAUGGUCGGAGAUACAGGUACUUACCAUAUAUUGUUAUAUGUUUUUUUUGUUGACUAUUUGUUAACCAUAUAUUGUUAUAAUAUUACUUUAUAAUAACACACUCCAUUUGUAUGUUUUUUAGAGAUCCUUUCACAUCGAUGAAAGCCGGCAAAAAUAUUGUAUUCAAUUGGCCGGAAAAAGACUCUGAGGAUUUCGAUCCUUUU